CGGCCCCGGCUGAGGAGCGCUGGCCGGAGCGUGGUGCGAGACCGGCUGGAGGCGGCAGCGCCGCGAAGCCGCGUGGGCGCAGGUAUGGGUCUCGCUCAGUGAAGGAAGACGACAGCCUGGGAGGGGAGCCACCUCUGGGAUGAACGCCUGCAGGACCCGUGAGGGGCGGCUUCUGGCGCAGAGCUUGUGGUGAUUUAUGGGAGUCCGGGGCUGCCGGAGAGGGAUGUGGAUGCCAUCAGCGCGGUGGAUUAAAUGCCCAUUUACAUUGUUAUUGACAUAUAAAUUAUCAGUGCCAAGGAGACAGCGAGGGGAAGGAUUUCAGGGGCAGUAAUGGGGCACGUGCCCCAGGAUAUGGACUUGUCUUUGCCCAAAUUUGUCCUCCGGGCUCUCAAGAAGCCAGUCUUGGAACUGAAGUAAAGCCCCAAUUCCCCGCUCUCGCCAUGCCGGCAGCAGCCGCCCUCAUCACUAGGGCAGUGAUGGCGAGUGAGGUCCCCGAGUGGAUUUUAAGAAGUCAGGAAGACCUUUGAAGGGGGAGCGUGGAGUUCCUUGGCUGGAGAGGGCCGUGUCUGGCGGCGUGCAUGCAUCCCCUUUGCCUGGCUUGUUCUCUUGCUCCGUGGAUUUGGAAGCCUCGCUGAAGGAGAGAGGGAUUUUAUUCCUGGGAGAUGGAACCGGUCUCCGAGUCCAGCCAACAGCAAAAGAGAAAGCUGGUGACCCAUGGACUGGAAGAUCAGAAGAGGAAAAAGCCCAGCUGGGAGGGACUAUUUCUCAUCCUCACCCUACUGAUGGGCCAAUGAGAUUUUGAGACCGUAACUUUCAGAGGAGCCUGCUCUUCGGUCUUCGCCACCUGAUGCCAGUCUUCAUUCCAAAUCACCAUGUUCUUACCACCUUCUGACUGAGUCUAGUUUAGCUUCCGCUUGUUUGACGGGUAAGGACACCUGUAACUCAAGAAAGAAAAGCAACUUGCCCAAGGCCACUCAAAGAGUGGAAAAUACUGUUACUGCUAUUGAAAGUAGCUAACAUUUAUCAAGCACCUAUGGUAUACCAGAGAUAGUGCUGUGUGCUUCCCGUUUUCUUAUUUCAUUUUUACCAUCAUUCUAGAAGGAGGUUGGUACCGCUGGGUGAGGUAACCAAGGGCUGGGGAGGUUAAGAAUAGCUCUUCCAGGGAUUCAUAGUUAGGAUUUCGGCGGAAGUUCCAAAAUUUCAGCUAUCCUCUUUCUAGUUUGUGAGGCCUGGUGUCUCAGAAUCCUACACAUACCCAUUUCUGUAUCUCAUUGGAUCCUAAUGGUAACCCUGUGGGGGAGGAAUCAGGAAACCUGGAGAGAAUCGUAGCUUUGGUACUAAACGUGUCGUGUGCUCUCAGGUAACCCACAUCCUCCCUCUGUGGGGCUCAGUUUCCUUACUUGUAA